rnacentral:rRNA from 1 species
UACAGAGGAGCCAAGCGUUGUCCGGAUUGACUGGGCGUAAAGCGCACGCAGGCGGUCGUGCGCGUGGGGUGUGAAAUCUGGCCGCUUAACGGCCAGGCGCCAUCCCAUACGGCACGACUGGAGGGCUGCAGAGGUCGAUGGAAUUGCCGGUGUAGUGGUGAAAUGCGUAGAGAUCGGCAGGAACACCCAGGGGGAAACCAGUCGACUGGGCAGCACCUGACGCUGUGGUGCGAGAGCGCGGGGAGCGAACCGG